AUGUCAGUGGGUGGGUUUUUUUUCUGCAUGGAGAAAUUCAGUUCCACACUUCCAUGUCAGAUGCCAUUUGGUCAGACUGCCCCUCUGCUGCCAUCUGUCACACGGCAACAACAUGUAACAGGAUAUUGGUGGGAAGGUUACACCUCUACUGCCAAGCCACCAACAUCCACCUCUGACAUCAUGGGCCAACAUAAUAAGAGGAGGCAUUGCUUUCAGAGCAGCCCUCGUACUGCUGAUGAAAGUAUGAUUACUAUUUGCCUCCAUUGUAGUAGCAGAGAACACCGACAAAAUCCUCUUUUCUUGUCUUCAUCUAGAUCAUCAAGAAUAGGAGUGCUUUCUAGACCAGGGCAAGCCUGCUCCGGAGCCAGCCCAUACGCAAGCUCCUUUCACGUUAGAAUCCAGAUCCAGAAGAGAAAGCAAUCCUCGAAGGCAGCUGUAAAUGGAAGCAGAGGAGGAACAGCAGGAGCCUGCUCAAGUGAGGUGUCUGCAGGUGUUCCUCAGCACUACUGCACUGUGCAGAGCUACUGCGUGGUAACAGAAAUAUGGAGAAGUGAAAGGAAAAACAAUACAAAGUCCCAGCCACAUGACAGUGCUUUGCCUGCAGUUUCCUUCUCAAGUAAUGAAAAGAAACAAUUCAGACCAGGGAUUCCCCUUUGGCAGCUGUUUUCCCUUGGGGUCAAAUACUGACUGCAGCAACGAGCGCUGUAAGUGAACCAAUAGUAAGUAUGUCUGACCAAGUCACUAGAGAACUGUUUGACACUUGGCUAGUCUUGUCCAGAAGUACUGCAUUAUUAAUUUUAAGUAAGGUACCACACGGACUUACACCACCCAACUGUUCUAAGGAUUAUAAGAUACAGACUAGCAGGAAGUCACGUAGUCCUUUUGCAUUUCAAAAGAUGUUUUUAGCUGGAUAAAAUUGAGGACAGUUCUUUCAUGUCCUGUGAAGGAACUGUGAGUACAAUUCAGUGCACUGCUGGAGUUUGCCUCACUUUUUGGGGGCAAGAAAUCAUGCAUGAGAUCUUAAACUUGAAUUGAAAGUUCCCACUUAACAGAACACAGCCACUGCGUUCCUUCACUAACUGUAGAUCAUCUACACUUGAAAUUAAAGCAGGUCCUAAAGCCUAAGACUGUCGUAGUGCUGCUUGAUGAAGCAGGCUACCGUGAGAAUAAUCCACAGAAUUAAGUAGGCCAGUCACUCUGCAGUUAGCAAGAUACCACCAAUGUUUUUGCCACGUUACAAAGUAGCAACACUGUUCUUCUACUUUAUGCACCCGUGGACAAACUCGUAACAGGUGCCCCAGGUUGCAGGAAACCAUCAUCAGCAGGAUCACAAGUCACUUCUCCCUCCUUACCUAAGCAAUUCAGGCAGCAAAAAAGCCGAUGAAAUGGUAAACGCCAACAUGUUAUUUGUCACUUUCCUAAAAAUUAAUAGUUUGUCUCUUUCUCUUCACUAGCCCUCAUUACUUUAUGUCCUGUAAAUCCUCACAUUCCACAAAAUACCAUGACUGGAGAUGCGUCAUUUUACAGAAGUCUUAGUGAUGCUCAGGUUGACUGUGCUGGAAAUUAGGUAUGCAAGUCAAUAGUGAUGGCUCCAAGUUUUCCAUAGCUUAACUAUUUGAAAUUGCUUUCAAUAAAUUAAGAGAUCCUGUUUGAGGGUGGGGGAGA
ensembl:lncRNA